GGACAACAUUCCGAAAGGAGUGCUAAUACCGGAUGUGAUCAUCGUGCCGCAUGGCAGGAUGAAGAAAGAUGGCCUCUACAAGUAAGCUAUCGCUAAAGGAUGGGCCUGCGUCUGAUUAGCUAGUUGGUAGUGUAACGGACUACCAAGGCGAUGAUCAGUAGCCGGUCUGAGAGGAUGAACGGCCACAUUGGGACUGAGACACGGCCCAAACUCCUACGGGAGGCAGCAGUGGGGAAUCUUCCGCAAUGGACGAAAGUCUGACGGAGCAACGCCGCGUGAGUGAUGAAGGAUUUCGGUCUGUAAAGCUCUGUUGUUUAUGACGAACGUGCAGUGUGUGAACAAUGCAUUGCAAUGACGGUAGUAAACGAGGAAGCCACGGCUAACUACGUGCCAGCAGCCGCGGUAAUACGUAGGUGGCGAGCGUUGUCCGGAAUUAUUGGGCGUAAAGAGCAUGUAGGCGGCUUAAUAAGUCGAGCGUGAAAAUGCGGGGCUCAACCCCGUAUGGCGCUGGAAACUGUUAGGCUUGAGUGCAGGAGAGGAAAGGGGAAUUCCCAGUGUAGCGGUGAAAUGCGUAGAUAUUGGGAGGAACACCAGUGGCGAAGGCGCCUUUCUGGACUGUGUCUGACGCUGAGAUGCGAAAGCCAGGGUAGCGAACGGGAUUAGAUACCCCGGUAGUCCUGGCCGUAAACGAUGGGUACUAGGUGUAGGAGGUAUCGACCCCUUCUGUGCCGGAG
rnacentral:rRNA from 1 species